AUUUAUUUUUUAAUAUUUUCUAAUAAAAUUUUAAAUCUGUUCUUAUCAGUUUAAUAUCUGAUAUGUCCUCUAUCUGAGGACUAUAUAUUAAAUGGAUUUUUGGAACAGGGAGAUGGAAUAGGAGCUUGCUCCAUUCACUCCAUGCAUUGACCUGGUAUUGCAGUACUACCAGGAACGGUGCACCUCCC
rnacentral:snRNA from 1 species